rnacentral:rRNA from 1 species
AUUGAACGCUGGCGGCAGGCCUAACACAUGCAAGUCGAACGAGUGGCGGACGGGUGAGUAAUGUCUGGGAAACUGCCUGAUGGAGGGGGAUAACUACUGGAAACGGUAGCUAAUACCGCAUACCAUCAGAUGUGCCCAGAUGGGAUUAGCUUGUUGGUGGGGUAACGGCUCACCAAGGCGACGAUCCCUAGCUGGUCUGAGAGGAUGACCAGCCACCAUGGAAUUGAGACACGGUCCAGACCCCUACGGGAGGCAUCAGUGGGUAAGUUUGCACAAUGGGCGACAGCCUGUUGGAGCCAUGCCGCGGGUAUGAAGAAGUCCUUCGGGUUGUAAAGUACUUUCAGCGGGGAGGCGUUACCCGCAGAAGAAGCACCGGCUAACUCCGUGCCAGCAGCCGCGGUAAUUC